rnacentral:rRNA from 1 species
CGUCCAUGUGAGGUGUCUUCGACGAGUCGAGUUGUUUGGGAAUGCAGCUCAAAAUGGGUGGUAAAUUUCAUCUAAAGCUAAAUAUUGGUGGGAGACCGAUAGCGCACAAGUAGAGUGAUCGAAAGAUGAAAAGCACUUUGAAAAUAGAGUUAAAAAGUACGUGAAAUUGUUGAAAGGGAAGCGCUUGAGACCAGACUUCGGUAAGGGGUGAUCAGCCGUCCUUCUGGGCGGUGCACUUGCCCCCCUCCGGGCCAGCAUCGGUUGAGGCGGCGGGAUAAAGGUCCCGGGAAUGUGGCUCCUUCACGGGAGUGUUAUAGCCCGGGUGAAUGCCGCCAGCUUCGACCGAGGACCGCACCCGCAAGGGUUAGGAUGCUUGGCAUAAUGGUCUUCAGCGAC